AUUGAACGCUGGCGGCAUGCCUUACACAUGCAAGUCGAACGGCAGCACGGGAGCAAUCCUGGUGGCGAGUGCGACGGUGAGUAAUAUAUCGGAACGUGCCCAGUCGUGGGGAGUAACGUAGCGAAAGCUACGCUAAUACCGCAUACGAUCUAUGGAUGAAAGACGGGGGAGUCGCAAGACCUCGCGCGAUUGGAGCGGCCGAUAUCAGAUUAGGUAGUUGGUGAGGUAAAGGCGUCACCAAGCCGACGAUCUGUAGCUGGUCUGAGAGGACGACCAGCCACACUGGGACUGAGACACGGCCCAGACUCCUACGGGAGGCAGCAGUGGGGGAAUUUUUGGACAAUGGGC
rnacentral:rRNA from 1 species